rnacentral:rRNA from 2 species
AAAUUGAAGAGUUUGAUCAUGGCUCAGAUUGAACGCUGGCGGCAGGCCUAACACAUGCAAGUCGAACGGUAACAGGAAACAGCUUGCUGUUUCGCUGACGAGUGGCGGACGGGUGAGUAAUGUCUGGGAAACUGCCUGAUGGAGGGGGAUAACUACUGGAAACGGUAGCUAAUACCGCAUAACGUCGCAAGACCAAAGAGGGGGACCUUCGGGCCUCUUGCCAUCGGAUG